GACAGAGGGUGCAAACGUUGUUCGGAAUUACUGGGCGUAAAGCGCGUGUAGGCUGCUUCGCAAGUCGGAUGUGAAAGCCCUGGGCUCAACCCAGGAAGUGCAUUCGAAACUGCAGAGCUGGAGUCCUGGAGAGGAAGGCGGAAUUCUCGGUGUAGAGGUGAAAUUCGUAGAUAUCGGGAGGAAUACCAGUGGCGAAGGCGGCGACCUGGGCCAAUACUGACGCUGAGGUGCGAAAGCGUGGGGAGCAAACAGG
rnacentral:rRNA from 1 species